rnacentral:rRNA from 1 species
AUUGAACGCUGGCGGCAUGCCUUACACAUGCAAGUCGAACGGUAACGGGCCUUCGGGUGCCGACGAGUGGCGUACGGGUGAGUAAUACAUCGGAACGUGCCCGAUCGUGGGGGAUAACGAGGCGAAAGCUUUGCUAAUACCGCAUACGAUCUACGGCUGAAAGCAGGGGACCGCAAGGCCUUGCGCGGACGGAGCGGCCGAUGGCGGAUUAGGUAGUUGGUGGGAUAAAAGCUUACCAAGCCGACGAUCUGUAGCUGGUCUGAGAGGAUGAUCAGCCACACUGUGACUGAGACACGGCCCAGACUCCUACGGGAGGCAGCAGUGGGGAAUUUUGGACAAUGGGCGGGAGCCUGAUCCAGCCAUGCCGCGUGCAGGAUGAAGGCCUUCGGGUUGUAAACUGCUUUUGUACGGAACGAAAAGCCUUCUUUUAAUACAGGAGGGUCAUGACGGUACCGUAAGAAUAAGCACCGGCUAACUACGUG